rnacentral:tRNA from 1 species
GGGGAUGUAGCUCAGUGGCACAGCUCCUGCCUGGUGAGCAUGAGGCCCUGAGUUCAAAUCCCAGUACGCUCC